GGGGAAUAUUGGACAAUGGGCGAAAGCCUGAUCCAGCCAUGCCGCGUGUGUGAAGAAGGUCUUCGGAUUGUAAAGCACUUUAAGUUGGGAGGAAGGGCAGUAAGUUAAUACCUUGCUGUUUUGACGUUACCGACAGAAUAAGCACCGGCUAACUCUGUGCCAGCAGCCGCGGUAAUACAGAGGGUGCAAGCGUUAAUCGGAAUUACUGGGCGUAAAGCGCGCGUAGGUGGUUUGUUAAGUUGGAUGUGAAAGCCCCGGGCUCAACCUGGGAACUGCAUCCAAAACUGGCAAGCUAGAGUACGGUAGAGGGUGGUGGAAUUUCCUGUGUAGCGGUGAAAUGCGUAGAUAUAGGAAGGAACACCAGUGGCGAAGGCGACCACCUGGACUGAUACUGACACUGAGGUGCGAAAGCGUGGGGAGCAAAC
rnacentral:rRNA from 1 species